GAAGGUAUAGCUCAGUGGUAGAGCAUGUGCUUAGCAGGCAUGAGGUCCUGGGUUCGAUCCCCAGUACCUCCA
rnacentral:tRNA from 1 species